AAUAGUCAGACACAAACUUGUGGCCAGUGAGGACAGUCAUCUACACACCUUACCCUUCACUCAUGAGAGGAAGAACAAUGGCUGUGAUCCACAAUCCCGUGAUCUAGAAGACUGCCAGCAGAAAUGAGGGCUUUCAGCACUUUCCCAAGGACUUCGUCUAAACAUCACGGCCUCUUCCCUUUCUUCUUCCUUGACUAUUUUGAUAAAGGAGUCUAUGCUUCACCACUGGCAGAUGGUGUUACAGAGUUUCUGUGAGGUCAUGAGGAAGCCUGCUAAAUAGAUUGUUCAGUAUUUAGUAUCUCACUGUUACAAAGAUCAUAUUUGACAGGCUAUUUAGCUAAAAACAAGGAAAAAGAAGACAAUCUUGCAAAAGUAGCUGUUG
rnacentral:lncRNA from 1 species